rnacentral:rRNA from 1 species
CCUACGGGGGGCAGCAGUGGGGAAUUUUGGACAAUGGACGCAAGUCUGAUCCAGCAAUGCCGCGUGCAGGACGAAGGCCUUCGGGUUGUAAACUGCUUUUGUACAGAACGAAAAGGCUCUGGUUAAUACCUGGGGCUCAUGACGGUACUGUAAGAAUAAGCACCGGCUAACUACGUGCCAGCAGCCGCGGUAAUACGUAGGGUGCGAGCGUUAAUCGGAAUUACUGGGCGUAAAGCGUGCGCAGGCGGUUUUGUAAGACCGAUGUGAAAUCCCCGGGCUCAACCUGGGAACUGCAUUGGUG